UACGUAGGUGACCAGCGUUGUCCGGAUUUACUGGGCGUAAAGAGCGCGCAGGCGGUCGUUCAAGUCGAGUGUGAAAGCCCCCGGCUCAACUGGGGAGGGUCACUCGAUACUGAUCGACUUGAAGGCAGGAGAGGGAAGCGGAAUUCCCGGUGUAGUGGUGAAAUGCGUAGAUAUCGGGAGGAACACCAGUGGCGAAGGCGGCUUCCUGGCCUGUUCUUGACGCUGAGGCGCGGAAAGCUAGGGGAGCCAAACGGGG
rnacentral:rRNA from 1 species